AACGAACGCUGGCGGCAGGCUUAACACAUGCAAGUCGAACGCAUCCUUCGGGGUGAGUGGCAGACGGGUGAGUAACGCGUGGGAACGUGCCCUUCAGUUCGGGAUAACCCAGGGAAACUUGGGCUAAUACCGGAUACGUGCGAGAGCAGAAAGAUUUAUCGCUGAAGGAUCGGCCCGCGUCUGAUUAGCUAGUUGGUGGGGUAAUGGCCCACCAAGGCGACGAUCAGUAGCUGGUCUGAGAGGAUGAUCAGCCACAUUGGGACUGAGACACGGACCAAACUCCUACGGGGGGCAGCAGUGGGGAAUAUUGGACAAUGGGCGCAAGCCUGAUCCAGCCAUGCCGCGUGAGUGAUGAAGGCCUUAGGGUUGUAAAGCUCUUUCGUCCGGGACGAUAAUGACGGUACCGGAAGAAGAAGCCCCGGCUAACUUCGUGCCAGCCGCCGCAGUAAAAC
rnacentral:rRNA from 1 species